rnacentral:rRNA from 1 species
UGAUAAGUGAUGAAAGCAUCUAAGCAAGAAACUGGACCAGCGAGGGGGUCUCCCUGACUCCUUGAGAGUCCUGAAGGAACGUUGAAGACGACGACGUUGAUAGGCCGGGUGUGUAAGCGCAGCGAUGCGUUGAGCUAACCGGUACUAAUGAACCGUGAGGCUUAACCUUACAACGCCGAAGCUGUU